UUCCAGUCCAGUAUAUUGUGAAAUGAAAUGUUACAUGAAUUCUUGAUUAAAAAAAAUUAUUAUAAGUUCAUGACCUUCAAUAGACAGAAAAUUAGCUUGGGACUUAGAAUAUGGAAUUCCCAUUUUUGUCAGGUUUUGGACAAGACUGAGAAAACAUAAUCUCUCUAAAGUUUUUCUAUCUGUCAGUAGAGUUAGUGAUUUUGAUGGGCUUUAUAAAAUGGUCUAACAUAACAUUAGGUCUGUGUAGAAUCAGGAGCUUAGAUGUGAUGAAGCACUGAGUAGAUACUCAUAAGACAAAGCUCUCACAAUUAGCACUUUGAAAAAAAAUGGGAGGAAAUUAACACUCAGAUUUGUCUUAUUGUUGUUAUAUUGGUUUCCAGGCUUUCACCAGUGAAUUUCACAAAUCUUCAUUCAUUGAAAUAUUAAGAAUGCAUUUUUCAAUACCUGGAAGGUAUAAUCAGAGACUCUAGGGUCCAUUAUCAGCAAUGCAAGGACACAGAUUUUGUCUGGUAGUUGGAGAAAAGUAGCAAGACUUUGUCCAGCCUUGCUCACCUUAUACAUGACUAGCUGCAACCUAAGGAUCUCCUUGGGAGUUGCAGCUGGCAUCCUUGUUCACUGCCAGAGUAUGUGGUAGCUCUUUCACUUGGUACUUUCAGGCAUUCUCUUCACAUCCUCUGGUUAAAAAAAUUUGUUCUUGGAUUAGUAUGAUUGUGUGUCCAAGGCCUAAUUGGCAUUCUGGAGUGAGGAAUGACACAG